ACUUCCCUGCCGCCGGGUAGGGAUGCAAGCGUCAGGUUUUCCAUCAUUAGGCCUUUGAAGAUGGAAAACUUUGACGCUGUUUUUUU
rnacentral:ncRNA from 1 species